ACUAUGCUCUGGUUGCUUGCUUGCCUCCUGGAAUCAUCAAUCUUUGGUAAAUUUCAAACUCAAAUCUCUCCACAUUUCCUCAAUUAGGGCAAGUUGAAAAGCAAAUAGUAGAAGAAAAAGACACUUUCUGCUCUGUCCUCGUAAGAAUCAGCAUGAGUACUCAAGAUAGACACAGAGCUGAUGUUGAAGGGGGCAAACAAGAUAGAAUCAGUGAUCUACCAAGACACAUUUUAGCUAGUAUCGUUGAGCUCUUGCCACCUAAAGAUGGAGCAAGAACUCGUGUCUUGUCCGGAAAAUAGAGAUUUAUUUGGUCCAUGGUUCCAAGUCUGCUGCUCUAUGACUUCUUUGAUAGCUUAGCAGUACAGACUCCAGCUUUCUUCAAACAAACAGUAGAUGAGAUUCUCUUACUCCAUCUUGGAGACAUUCUGAAGUUUGAACUUAAAAUUCCAGUAGCACUUUCGACUUCAUAUGCAGAUAUAGAUAGAUGGAUGCUUUAUGUCACCAGAAAUGGUGUCAAGAAGCUAUCUCUUUUCCUGCCAUAUAAUAGUACUUAUAAACUGCCAUCUUAUGUAUUUAGUUGUUCAACCCUGACAUCUUUGUGCCUAAGCAAUGGUGUCUUCAAACCACCUAAUUCUUUUCUUUGCUUUCCAAAAUCUUGAAACCUUCCUCCUGGAAAGAGUAACCAUUAUGCCAACCACAACCACAGAGUGUUGUGUUAUCAAAGUCCCCCGUCUUGUCUAUUUGGACUUGUUACACUGUGAUGGUACUGAAUACCUGAACAUUGUUUCACCAUUGUUGGAGUUAUUGAGUGUUUAUGAUGUUCACUAUCUCGUGCUAAAUUGCUUUAUGAACUGCACAAAAUUGAGAGUGUUAAACCUUAGAUUUAACAAAGUGGUGGAUAAUCUGAUUCCUGAUGAAAGAUCAACUUUGGAAAAGCUUCUUUUUAGCUUGGCACCUACAGUUGAGAAACUUAAUUUGGAUUCAUUUUUCCUUGAGCUUUGUGCUGCAGAUAUGGUUCCUAAGAUGCCUCCUUUUAUACCCAACCGCUUGUGGCAUCUAUCAUUCUUUGUGGACUUGGACAAAUUGAGUCCAACUUCUGGCGCUCUACAGUUAAUUAAGAGUGUCCCAAUUUGAGAGAACUUGAUAUUUGGGUCCGUUUUACCAGCAACAAUGCUGAAGCAGUUUCAAAAUAUUUGAAUACACCAGCCUGCUUGGACCGACCGCUCAACAAGCUCAAACGCGUGGUCAUACAUAUUUAAUGGUUCAAAAACUGAACUGCUUUUCAUAAAGUUGUUGUUUGCUCGCACUCCAUCUUUGGAAAAGAUGAUCAUUAUGCCAGUGGAAGACUUUCAUUUCUGCGAAGAAAGGAAUAUCACCACAAAGUUGACGAGUUUCCCGCGUGCAUCUCCAGAGGCUGAGAUUUUUUAUUCUGAUGUGUGCCUUAACAUACCAAUCUCAAGUUCCAGCCAACAGUAGGGCUGAUCUCCAAUACAAAGUUUGUAUUUUGACGCCCCCUUCAUUGGUACUAUGGGAAAAUAGUCAAGUAAAUGCAUCAGUGGUUGUUUCCAUGGAAAAAGACUGCCAAAUAUAUAUAUAUAUAUAUAGCUCAUCAAAAGUAUGAGAUUUAUGUAUAAUACAAAAUAGAACUUACCUUUGAUUUGGCUCUGCAACUGUAAGGUUCUGCUUGUCUGCUUUUUGGUAAGACCUGAAAGUCUAUUGCUAAAUGUAAAAUUGCUGCUUUUGAAAUCUAA